rnacentral:rRNA from 1 species
ACACGACUACAUUAGAUACCCGCGUAGUCCUAGCCGUAAACGAUACUCGCUAGGUGUCGGCCACGGUGCGACCGUUGUCGGUGCCGUAGGGAAGCCGUGAAGCGAGCCACCCGGGAAGUACGGCCGCAAGGCUGAAACUUAAAGGAAUUGGCGGGGGAGCACCACAACGGGUGGAGCUUGCGGUUUAAUUGGAUUCAACGCCGGAAAUCUUACCGGGACCGACAGCAACAUGAAGGCCAAGCUGAAGACUUUGCCGGAUUAGCUG